rnacentral:rRNA from 1 species
UACGAAGGGGGCUAGCGUUGCUCGGAAUGACUGGGCGUAAAGGGCGCGUAGGCGGUUUGUACAGUCAGGUGUGAAAUUCCCGGGCUCAACCUGGGGGCUGCACUUGAUACGUAUGGACUGGAGUGGGGAAGAGGGUCGUGGAAUUCCCAGUGUAGAGGUGAAAUUCGUAGAUAUUAGGAAGAACACCAGUGGCGAAGGCGGCUCACUGGCCCGGUACUGACGCUGAGGCGCGAAAGCGUGGGGAGCAAACAGG